rnacentral:rRNA from 1 species
GGGGGGUGCAAGCGUUGUUCGGAAUUAUUGGGCGUAAAGCGCGUGUAGGCGGUUUGUUAAGUCUGUUGUGAAAGCCCUGGGCUCAACCCAGGAUGUGCACUGGAUACUGGCAGACUUGAAUACGGGAGAGGGUAGUGGAAUUCCUGGUGUAGGAGUGAAAUCCGUAGAUAUCAGGAGGAACACCGGUGGCGAAGGCGGCUGCCUGGACCGAUAUUGACGCUGAGACGCGAAAGCGUGGGUAGCAAACAGGAUUAGAUACCCUGGUAGUCCACGCCGUAAACGAUGAGAACUAGGUGUUGCGGGUAUUGACCCCUGCAGUGCCGCAGCUAACGCAUUAAGUUCUCCGCCUGGGAAGUACGGUCGCAAGACUA